GAAAAUCAGCAUUGAAAAUGAUAAAUCGCAAGUUAAAGGUCAACUUUAUGUGUGAAUUGAAUAGAGUUAUAAUGCUUACAGAGGUGGAGUUAAAGCAUUAGGUUCGAUAUUGCUAAUCAACGACUUUAGUUUGUACUACUUGCUUAAGCCACUCAGCCACUAACAUUAACCACACUCAAAAUCCCAGACCCUUUAGUUCCGUUUUAGAUCCAUGAUCACUGGGAAAUCAAAGGGGAACCCACGUUAGGAUCUUUGUAUUAUUUUGAAACAGGUUGAUAGUCGUAUGAAACAGCACAGGGAGGAUACUGCAGUACAGGCCCAACGUUCACGGGAAUCGCUCGUUCCCAUUUCGAUUCAUUCGCAGGUUGUGCCAUAUGAGAUGGCGACGUUGGCCUCAUUUGGUGCACCCCUAUGAAUGGCUUGUCCUCGUGGGGUCAAUUAGGCCGCUUUGCCCCCACAUUUCUCAGCGUCUAACCAUAACAAAAGGUUGAACAUCAUACAUUAAAAUUGUGACAUCUCAUUUAAGCAUUUCAACAAAUAGUAUCUAUGCAAGGUAUAAUAUAGCAUGAAUACCUUCAUCAAAUGUGAGGUUUUGGGUAAAUCCGGUCGCGAUUAGGGGAUACCUUCUAAUCUUGAAGGCGCAUGCAACCCAGAUUAGAGUGACUGCGUUUACUCCCCGAAUAUUGAAUCUUGUAACCCAAAAACAUCGGUUUUAUGACUGAAUUUAAUGGUAUUCUAUGAAACAAACCGAUCAAUAAAUUUUCUUCGUGACCCAAAAUAUAGAAUAACAACUCCAACAACCAUUGCAAGAGGAAACAAUUUCUUGAUUAAAGCCUGUAGUUUAGAACACACAUGGUGAGAACAAUUACACUUUAAAAAAAAAUUUACUUUU
rnacentral:lncRNA from 1 species